AGCACGGGGCCGAGGUCACGGGUUUGGUGGUUCUCCUCGUCUGCGGACGGAGUCGCUGCAGGAGGGUGUGAGACGUGGAGGGUGAGACCACUGGCAGUGGGAGCCCUUGUUCUGAGUGAGUCCAUGACCUCCCAUCUCUAAGUCACCUCCACCUGAGGGACAGAAUCUCUGACAGGCUUGGAAAGCCCUCCUUCUCUGACGGGCAUAGCUCAUGUCCCCAGGAUCCAGCUGUAAAGUGCCUCAGGGUGCCUGGCAUGCUGUCUGUACCAACUGUAAACUGAACGUGAGUGCCUCAGUGACACCUCAUCAACGGAAUGUGGCAUCCGGUAAAUGACUUAGACUAAUGAAAGGUGGUCUAGUCAUGACUUUUCCCGCAGCUCCUCUGCCAUCGCAAAGGUCUCAAUAUUAGGAGCUAGGGACUGAUGCUGAUGCUGAGACUCCAAUAGU